rfam:Schistosoma curassoni strain Dakar, Senegal genome assembly, scaffold: SCTD_scaffold0010927
AUCCAACUGACGAGUCCCAAAAUAGGAUGAAACACGUGUCAAACUAGAU